CAGGCCCUGAAUCAAGGCUGACAAUUUGUAGUAGUUGUCAGUUUCAAACAGGAGCCCAAAAGAACUUCUCCCUAUGGUCUGUUGGCUGUUUCCUGACUUACAAUGGAGCACUCAACUCACUUGGAAGACACACUU
ensembl:snoRNA